GAUGAACGCUGGCGGCGUGCCUAAUACAUGCAAGUCGAGCGAACGGACGAGAAGCUUGCUUCUCUGAUGUUAGCGGCGGACGGGUGAGUAACACGUGGAUAACCUACCUAUAAGACUGGGAUAACUUCGGGAAACCGGAGCUAAUACCGGAUAAUAUUUUGAACCGCAUGGUUCAAAAGUGAAAGACGGUCUUUCUGUCACUUAUAGAUGGAUCCGCGCUGCAUUAGCUAGUUGGUAAGGUAACGGCUUACCAAGGCAACGACGCAUAGCCGACCUGAGAGGGUGAUCGGACACACUGGAACUGAGACACGGUCCAGACUCCUACGGGAGGCAGCAGUAGGGAAUCUUCCGCAAUGGGCGAAAGCCUGACGGAGCAACGCCGCGUGAGUGAUGAAGGUCUUCGGAUCGUAAAACUCUGUUAUUAGGGAAGAACAUAUGUGUAAGUAACUGUGCACAUCUUGACGGUACCUAAUCAGAAAGCCACGGCUAACUACGUG
rnacentral:rRNA from 1 species